UUGUGGAGGAGGACGCCGAAGGUGGGGCUAAUGACUGGGGUGAAGUCGUAACAAGGUAGCCGUACCGGAAGGUGCGGCUGGAUCACCUCCUAACAGGGAGACAACAAAAUGUUUAAUAUUAUUAUUUUGUCACCUUAGGUCGAUCGGUAUCUCACGUUUUUAAUUUAUUAGAAAUUUCAUUUCCUAAGUUUUUCUAGGUCACACCCAUUAUUUUUCCUGGGCCAUUAGCUCAGGUGGUUAGAGCGCACCCCUGAUAAGGGUGAGGUCCCUGGUUCAAGUCCAGGAUGGCCCAUAUCUCUAUGUUGGGGGUAUAGCUCAGUUGGUAGAGCGCCUGCUUUGCAAGCAGGAUGUCAGCGGUUCGAGUCCGCUUACCUCCACUGAUUACCACCUCUUCCAUAACCGGUAGUAAAGGAAAUGUUUUGAGUUGUGAUCAAAUUCUGAAAGAAUCUAGCUUCCUAAUGAAAUCAUUAAGAUGCUGGACUCAUUGAAUUAAUCUCAUUGUUUUCAGAGAACCUUGACAACUGCAUAGAUUAUUUUUAAAGACAAUAAGCAUCUUUAAUGAUGCAGAUUUAUUAUUUGUGCGAAUGCAUUAAUAACAAUUCUAUUAAGCUGAUGCUUCAAUUUUGAAGUUAUUGGUCAAGCUACAA
rnacentral:misc_RNA from 1 species